ACGGGGGAUGCAAGCGUUAUCCGGAAUUAUUGGGCGUAAAGCGUUCGUAGGCGGUUUUAUAAGUCUGCUGUCAAAGUGCGGAGCUCAACUCCGUAAGAGCAGUGGAAACUGUGAGACUAGAGUGUGGUAGGGGUAGAGGGAAUUCCCAGUGUAGCGGUGAAAUGCGUAGAUAUUGGGAAGAACACCGGUGGCGAAAGCGCUCUACUGGACCACAACUGACGCUGAGGGACGAAAGCUAGGGGAGCGAAAGGG
rnacentral:rRNA from 1 species